rnacentral:rRNA from 1 species
GGGUUGUGAGGUUAAGCGACUAAGCGUACACGGUGGAUGCCCUGGCAGUCAGAGGCGAUGAAGGACGUGCUAAUCUGCGAAAAGCGUCGGUAAGGUGAUAUGAACCGUUAUAACCGGCGAUGUCCGAAUGGGGAAACCCAGUGUGAUUCGUCACACUAUCGUUAACUGAAUACAUAGGUUAACGAGGCGAACCGGGGGAACUGAAACAUCUAAGUACCCCGAGGAAAAGAAAUCAACCGAGAUUCCCCCAGUAGCGGCGAGCGAACGGGGAGCAGCCCAGAGUCUGAAUCAGCUUGUGUGUUAGUGGAACGGUCUGGAAAGUCCGACGGUACAGGGUGAUAGUCCCGUACACCAAAAUGCACAGGUUGUGAACUCGAAGAGUAGGGCGGGACACGUGGUAUCCUGUCUGAAUAUGGGGGGACCAUCCUCCAAGGCUAAAUACUCCUGACUGACCGAUAGUGAACCAGUACCGUGAGGGAAAGGCGAAAAGAACCCCGGCGAGGGGAGUGAAAAAGAACCUGAAACCGUGUACGUACAAGCAGUGGGAGCACCUUCGGGUGUGACUGCGUACCUUUUGUAUAAUGGGUCAGCGACUUAUAUUCUGUAGCAAGGUUAACCGUAUAGGGGAGCCGCAGGGAAACCGAGUCUUAACUGGGCGUUAAGUUGCAGGGUAUAGACCCGAAACCCGGUGAUCUAGCCAUGGGCAGGUUGAAGGUUGGGUAACACUAACUGGAGGACCGAACCGACUAAUGUUGAAAAAUUAGCGGAUGACUUGUGGCUGGGGGUGAAAGGCCAAUCAAACCGGGAGAUAGCUGGUUCUCCCCGAAAGCUAUUUAGGUAGCGCCUCGUGAAUUCAUCUUCGGGGGUAGAGCACUGUUUCGGCUAGGGGGUCAUCCCGACUUACCAACCCGAUGCAAACUACGAAUACCGAAGAAUGUUAUCACGGGAGACACACGGCGGGUGCUAACGUCCGUCGUGAAGAGGGAAACAACCCAGACCGCCAGCUAAGGUCCCAAAGUCAUGGUUAAGUGGGAAACGAUGUGGGAAGGCACAGACAGCCAGGAUGUUGGCUUAGAAGCAGCCAUCAUUUAAAGAAAGCGUAAUAGCUCACUGGUCGAGUCGGCCUGCGCGGAAGAUGUAACGGGGCUAAACCAUGCACCGAAGCUGCGGCAGCGACACGAUGUGUUGUUGGGUAGGGGAGCGUUCUGUAAGCCUGCGAAGGUGUGCUGUGAGGCAUGCUGGAGGUAUCAGAAGUGCGAAUGCUGACAUAAGUAACGAUAAAGCGGGUGAAAAGCCCGCUCGCCGGAAGACCAAGGGUUCCUGUCCAACGUUAAUCGGGGCAGGGUGAGUCGACCCCUAAGGCGAGGCCGAAAGGCGUAGUCGAUGGGAAACAGGUUAAUAUUCCUGUACUUGGUGUUACUGCGAAGGGGGGACGGAGAAGGCUAUGUUAGCCGGGCGACGGUUGUCCCGGUUUAAGCAUGUAGGCUGGUUGUCCAGGCAAAUCCGGAUAAUCAAGGCUGAGGUGUGAUGACGAGGCACUACGGUGCUGAAGUAACAAAUGCCCUGCUUCCAGGAAAAGCCUCUAAGCAUCAGGUAACAUCAAAUCGUACCCCAAACCGACACAGGUGGUCAGGUAGAGAAUACCAAGGCGCUUGAGAGAACUCGGGUGAAGGAACUAGGCAAAAUGGUGCCGUAACUUCGGGAGAAGGCACGCUGGUGUGUAGGUGAAGUCCCUGCGGAUGGAGCUGAGACCAGUCGAAGAUACCAGCUGGCUGCAACUGUUUAUUAAAAACACAGCACUGUGCAAACACGAAAGUGGACGUAUACGGUGUGACGCCUGCCCGGUGCCGGAAGGUUAAUUGAUGGGGUUAUCCGUAAGGAGAAGCUCUUGAUCGAAGCCCCGGUAAACGGCGGCCGUAACUAUAACGGUCCUAAGGUAGCGAAAUUCCUUGUCGGGUAAGUUCCGACCUGCACGAAUGGCGUAAUGAUGGCCAGGCUGUCUCCACCCGAGACUCAGUGAAAUUGAACUCGCUGUGAAGAUGCAGUGUACCCGCGGCAAGACGGAAAGACCCCGUGAACCUUUACUAUAGCUUGACACUGAACAUUGAGCCUUGAUGUGUAGGAUAGGUGGGAGGCUUUGAAGCGUGGACGCCAGUCUGCGUGGAGCCAACCUUGAAAUACCACCCUUUAAUGUUUGAUGUUCUAACGUUGGCCCCUGACCGGGGUUGCGGACAGUGUCUGGUGGGUAGUUUGACUGGGGCGGUCUCCUCCCAAAGCGUAACGGAGGAGCACGAAGGUUAGCUAAUCCUGGUCGGACAUCAGGAGGUUAGUGCAAUGGCAUAAGCUAGCUUGACUGCGAGCGUGACGGCGCGAGCAGGUGCGAAAGCAGGUCAUAGUGAUCCGGUGGUUCUGAAUGGAAGGGCCAUCGCUCAACGGAUAAAAGGUACUCCGGGGAUAACAGGCUGAUACCGCCCAAGAGUUCAUAUCGACGGCGGUGUUUGGCACCUCGAUGUCGGCUCAUCACAUCCUGGGGCUGAAGUAGGUCCCAAGGGUAUGGCUGUUCGCCAUUUAAAGUGGUACGCGAGCUGGGUUUAGAACGUCGUGAGACAGUUCGGUCCCUAUCUGCCGUGGGCGCUGGAGAAUUGAGGGGGGCUGCUCCUAGUACGAGAGGACCGGAGUGGACGCAUCACUGGUGUUCGGGUUGUCAUGCCAAUGGCACUGCCCGGUAGCUAAAUGCGGAAGAGAUAAGUGCUGAAAGCAUCUAAGCACGAAACUUGCCCCGAGAUGAGUUCUCCCUGAGACUUUAAGUCUCCUGAAGGAACGUUAAAGACGAUGACGUUGAUAGGCCGGGUGUGUAAGCGCAGCGAUGCGUUGAGCUAACCGGUACUAAUGAACCGUGAGGCUUAACCUUACAACGCCGAAG